GAACCCGGAGCUUGCUCUGGUGGGAUUAGUGGCGAACGGGUGAGUAACACGUGAGCAAUCUGCCCCCGACUCUGGGAUAACCCCGAGAAAUCGGAGCUAAUACCGGAUACGACACCUCCUGGCAUCAGGUGGGUGUGGAAAGAAUUUCGGUUGGGGAUGAGCUCGCGGCCUAUCAGCUUGUUGGUGAGGUAAUGGCUCACCAAGGCGACGACGGGUAGCCGGCCUGAGAGGGUGACCGGCCACACUGGGACUGAGACACGGCCCAGACUCCUACGGGAGGCAGCAGUGGGGAAUAUUGCACAAUGGGCGCAAGCCUGAUGCAGCAACGCCGCGUGGGGGACGAAGGCCUUCGGGUUGUAAACCUCUUUUGGCAGGGAAGAAGCGAAAGUGACGGUACCUGCAGAAAAAGCACCGGCUAACUACGUGCCAGCAGCCGCGGUAAUACGUAGGGUGCAAGCGUUGUCCGGAAUUAUUGGGCGUAAAGAGCUCGUAGGCGGUGUGUCACGUCUGCUGUGAAAAUCCAAGGCUCAACCUUGGACUUGCAGUGGGUACGGGCACACUCGAGUGCGGUAGGGGAGAUUGGAAUUCCUGGUGUAGCGGUGGAAUGCGCAGAUAUCAGGAGGAACACCGAUGGCGAAGGCAGAUCUCUGGGCCGUAACUGACGCUGAGGAGCGAAAGCGUGGGGAGCGAACAGGAUUAGAUACCCUGGUAGUCCACGCCGUAAACGGUGGGAACUAGAUGUGGGGUCCGUUCCACGGAUUCCGUGUCGCAGCUAACGCAUUAAGUUCCCCGCCUGGGGAGUACGGCCGCAAGGCUAAAACUCAAAGGAAUUGACGGGGGCCCGCACAAGCGGCGGAGCAUGCGGAUUAAUUCGAUGCAACGCGAAGAACCUUACCAAGGCUUGACAUAUAGGAGGAAAAGUGCAGAGAUGCACUCCCCGCAAGGUCUCUAUACAGGUGGUUGCAUGGUUGUCGUCAGCUCGUGUCGUGAGAUGUUUGGGUUAAGUCCCGCAACGAGCGCAACCCUCGUCCUAUGUUGCCAGCACGUAAAAGGUGGGAACUCAUGG
rnacentral:rRNA from 1 species